AGGAGUCCAGGUGGCACUAAUGGUAUAGAAUCCACCUGCCAAAGCAGGAAACUCGGCUUCGAUCCCGGGUCAGGAAGAUCCACUGGAGGAGGCAAUGGCAGCCCACUCCAGCAUUCUUGCCUGGAGAAUUCCAUAGACACAGGAGCCUGGAGGGCUACAGUCCUUGGGGCGGCAAAGAACUGAACUCAGCUGAGCACACGUGAGGAGCCCUGUUCUGGAUGCUGCAGACACAAUGACAAAGACAGCAGAUGAGGAAACUUUUCUGGAAGGGCCCUGGUGAUAACUACAGAUUUGAAACUCUAAAUUCUACACACCUUUCCAGGUGCUGUGACUAUCAAAACUCCACCCAUUCUUCAAGGCCUCCUUCAAAUCCCACCUCUUCCAGGAAGUCAACUCUGACCGCCUUACCCAGAAAGGGCGUCUCCUCCUCUGAACCCUGCCUGCUGUUUAAGCCACAGCAUGCCCUGUGUUACCUGUGGGGCGAAUCACCCUAACCACACCGGGACAUGGGUUCGAUCCCUGGUCCAGGAGGAUCCCACAUGCCCUGGAGCAACUGAGCCCGUGCGCCAAAACUACUGAGCCUACGUGCAGCAAUUACUGAAGUGCGAAUGCUCUAGAGCCUGUGCUCAGCAACAAGAGAAGCCACCGCAAUGAGAAGUCCACAAACGGCAACUAGAGAGCAGCCCCCACUCACCACAAGUAGAAAGA
ensembl:lncRNA